GCGUACGUGGCGGAAUUGGUAGACGCGUUAGGUUGAGGGCCUAAUGACUUAUUUUAGUUGUGGAAGUUCGAGUCUUCUCGUACGCA
rnacentral:tRNA from 1 species